UGCGUAGGCGGCCCGGAAAGUUGGGUGUGAAAGCCCUCGGCUCAACCGAGGAACUGCGCCCAAAACUGCCGGGCUAGAGGGAGACAUAGGUGAGCGGAACUUAGGGUGGAGCGGUGAAAUGCGUUGAGAUCCUAAGGAACACCAGUAGCGAAAGCGGCUCACUGGGUCUUUUCUGACGCUGAGUGCACGAAAGCUAGGGGAGCGAAGAGGAUUAGAUACCCUCGUAGUCCUAGCCGUAAACAAUGAGCACUGAUUUGGAGGGUCCCUCCAUAGCCUUCCAGAUGUAGCGAAAGUGUUAAGUGCUCCGCCUGGGGAGUAUGGUCGCAAGGCUGAA
rnacentral:rRNA from 1 species